rnacentral:rRNA from 1 species
UACGAAGGGUGCAAGCGUUAAUCGGAAUUACUGGGCGUAAAGCGUGCGUAGGCGGUUCGUUAAGUCUGAUGUGAAAGCCCUGGGCUCAACCUGGGAAUGGCAUUGGAUACUGGCGGGCUAGAGUGCGGUAGAGGGGUGCGGAAUUCCCGGUGUAGCGGUGAAAUGCGUAGAGAUCGGGAGGAACAUCUGUGGCGAAGGCGGCACCCUGGACCAGCACUGACGCUGAGGCAAGAAAGCGUGGGGAGCAAACAGG